rnacentral:lncRNA from 1 species
CCGACUUUGCGUAUUAGCUCUAAAUUCUUUCGGUCCGUUUUUAUGAUCCCCAACUUUACGUAUUAGCUCUAAGUUGUUUCGGUCCGUUUUUAUGAUCCCGGACUUUGCGUAUUAGCUCUAAGUUCUUUCGGUCCGUUUUUAUGAUCCCUGACUUUGCGUAUUAGCUCUAAGUUGUUUCGGUCCCUUUUUAUGAUCCCCGACUUUGCGUAUUAGCUCUAAAUUCUUUCGGUCCGUUUUUAUGAUCCCCGACUUUACGUAUUAGCUCUAAGUUCUUUCGGUCCGUUUUUAUUAUCCCAGACUUUGCGUAUUAGCUCUAAGUUCUUUCGGUCCCUUUUUAUGAUCCCCAACUUUGCGUAUUAGCUCUAAGUUCUUUCGGUCCCUUUUUAUGAUCCCCGACUUUGCGUAUUAGCUCUAAGUUCUCUCGGUCCCUUUUUAUGAUCCCCGACCUUGCGUAUUAGCUUUAAGUUCUCUCGGUCCCUUUUAUGAUCCCCGACCUUGCGUAUUAGCUUUAAGUUCUUUCGGUCCGUUUUUAUGAUCCCUGACUUUGCGUAUUAGCUCUAAGUUCUGUCGGUCCGUUUUUAUGACCCCGACUUUGCGUAUUAGCUCUAUGUUCUUUCGUCCCUUUUAUGAUCCCCGACUUUGCGUAUUAGCUCUAAGUUCUUUCGGUCCCUUUUUAUGAUCCCCGACUUUGCGUAUUAGCUCUAAGUUCAUUCAUUCCCUUUUUAUGAUCCCCGACUUUGCGUAUUAGAUUUAAGUUCUCUCGGUCCGUUUUUAUGAUCCCCGACUUUGCGUAUUAGCUAUAAGUUCUUUCGGUCCGUUUUUAUGAUCCUCGACUUUGCGUAUUAGCUCUAAGUUCUUUCGGUCCGUUUUAUGAUCCCCGACUUUGCGUAUUAGCUCUAAGUUCUCUCGGUCCGUUUUUAUGAUCCUCGACUUUGCGUAUUAGCUCUAAGUUCUUUCGGUCCGUUUUUAUGAUCCCCGACUUUGCGUAUUAGCUCUAAGUUCUUUCGGUCCAUUUUUAUGAUUCCCUACUUUGCGUAUUAGCUCUAAGUUCUUUCGGUCCGUUUUUAUGAUCCUCGACUUUGCGUAUUUGCUCUAAGUUCUUUCAGUCCGUUUUUAUGAUCCUCGACUUUGCGUAUAAGCUCUAAUUUCUUUCGGUACAUUUUUAUGAUCCCCGACUUUGCGUAUUAGCUCUAAGUUCUUUCGGUCCGUUUCUAUGAUCCUCGACUUUGCGUAUAAGCUCU